UACGGAGGGUGCAAGCGUUAUCCGGAUUUACUGGGUUUAAAGGGUGUGUAGGUGGACUAUUAAGUCAGGGGUGAAAUCCCGAGGCUCAACCUCGGAACUGCCUUUGAUACUAUUAGUCUUGAAUGUUGUUGAGGUGGGCGGAACGGGUCAUGUAGCGGUGAAAUGCAUAGAUAUGACCCGGAACACCGAUUGCGAAGGCAGCCCGCUAAGCAACUAUUGACGCUGAGGCACGAAAGCGUGGGGAUCAAACAGG
rnacentral:rRNA from 1 species